UUUGGUUAGCAUUUGGUUUAGGAUUUAGGAUUUAAGAUUUGGUUAGCAUUUGGUUUAGGGUUUAGAAUUUGUUUAGGAUUUUAUUUAGGAUUAAAAUUUGAUUAGGCUUUGAUCUAGGAUUUAGAAUUUGGUUUAGGAUUUAGGAUUUGGAUGAAGAUUUAAGGUUUAAUUAGGAUUUGGUUUAGGAUUUAGGGUUUGGUUAGAGUUUAAUUUAGGAUUAGGAUUUGAUUAGGAUUUGAUUAGGAUUUGAUUUAGGAUUUAAGAUUUGAUUAGGAUUUGAUUUAUGAUUUGGUUAGGAUUUGGUUUAGGGUUUAGGAUUUUAUUAGGAUUUGUUUAGGAUUUAAGAUUUAGUUAAUUUUUGGCCUAAAGUUUGAAUGAAGUCUAAUAGGAUUUUAACUAGGAUUAAAUUAAGAUUGAAUUGAGAUGUAUUUGAGAUAUAUUUGUGAUUAUUCUAAUAUUUCUUUAAGAUUUUUUAUUGUUUCUUUGUAAUUCCUUUGAGGUUUCUUUCAAUUUGAUUAAAGCUUGUUUAAUAUUAUUAUGAUUUAAUUAGAUUUUAAUUAGUAUUUUAUUAGAGUUAAGAUUUUAUUUUUACAAUUUCCAUUCUACCUUUCAUACUCAAAUGCUUGGAGCAUUCUGAAGCAAGACUUCACGUAUUACGACAACGCUAUUCAAAAUCUCUAGUAGGAGCUCUAAUUUUAUUUGUAAAGAAAAAAAAUGGAUCAUUGUGGAUUUGUUUUGAUUAUCAAAGACUUAACAAACUCACCAUAAAGAAUAUGUAU
rnacentral:lncRNA from 1 species